GUUCGACGAAUGAAAGAGAGCUCGUACCCGCAACUUUUCCUUGAUUCUGCACUCUUGUGGGUAAUAGGCUUUCCUUCCUUGUCGUAG
rnacentral:pre_miRNA from 1 species